GUGGACACAGCGUCCCUCCCCUCUGGAGGAUGCAGCAACAAAAUGCCUCCUUGGAAGCUGAGAGCAGCCCUCACUGGACAACAGAACCUGCUGGCGCUGUGAUCUUGGACUUCCCAACCUCCAGAACAGACUGACUGUAGUCAUAAAGCAGGAUGGACAGCAUCCAGCUGGGUCUUGAGUGGUGGCCCAUACCGAUGUGGACUCCCAUGAUCUGGACUGGCUGGGAGGAUGCUACUGCCUGGUGGCCCCACGCCUGUUGGCCAUGGGAGUUUUGGCCUUCACGUGUUAACUGAAAUAAUGAACACCAUGGUGCUCCAGGUCUCUCGCUCCCAUCCAGGCAUUCUCCACCUGAUAUCUCUCUGGAGGGUGGAUGCUUUUGUCAGCUGUGUCCUCAAUAAACUGCAACCAGGCAUGGGGCAAUGUGGAGGGAGGGAAGAGAUUUAAAUUCAUUUUCUGGGGGGAAGAGUCACCUCCUACUGGAAUCAAGAGCUAAAAAGAGUUCUCCCAUGUGUGCAGUGCCACGUAACUUCCGGUGUAAUGCCACGAAACACCCACACGUGGAAAACACAGUUGCCAGUUCUUCCUCCUCCACCGUGCAGCUCCGGGGAGCUGUGGGGAGCCAGCCCCCUCCAGAAUUAUCUGAUGCCAGCGUUGGCGUGGACAUAAUAAUGAACAAAUAAGCAUUUUUUUAAAUUGACAAGGUGAAAAAGAAGGUUUAGGAUUAAGGAAUCUUGCCUGAGGAUUAGUCGAAUGUCAGUGAGGAGAAAUAACACUGAAUAGACCCAAAAUAUGUUUUCAGGAAACCUCGAAAAUGCUUUCUGCAUAAUAUUAUAUCUCCCUCUGCUAGAACUGCCAAUUUUGAGUUUCUCACUAUUUUUAUUUUCUUGAGAAAUGAUCAUUUUUAUAAAUAGCCUUUUAAAUGUCAAACUAACUGGUUGAAUAAUUUAUCUCUACUUCUUAUCCUGAAUAACUCAACCCUUGCUUGAUUUUCUAAAGGGUUGGGGGAAAGGGGUUCUCAGACAUAAGCGCCCAGAAUAAAUCCUUCUGUCUGUUAGAGGCUUUGGCUGUCUCCUUUCCCGCGGGUGGUGUGGGCUCCCUGUGGCUGGAAGGCGGCUGUCCUUCCGACGGCUUGCUUCCGCUUGGCUCUGCUCGCUCUUCAGUCACAGCCACAGCAGGGUCCAUGAAGGCAGAUGACAGACGGGAACCCCCAAGAGGCACCUAACCAGGGAUCACGUGUGCUUUCCAUGAAGCCACAGGAGGACCAUGACUCACUCCUCAGAGCAGCAACCCAGGGCUGCGGCAUGAUGGGCCUGGUCGGCGCUGGGUGCCUCGUUCGGUGCCGGCAGGAACCAGCACGCACUCAGGCUGAUGAGACCAGGAGGGUCAGCUGGACCCUGACCAUGGUUCUCAAAGGGUGUGCCAGGACCUGCAACAGAAGCACCACUUGGGAACUUGUCAGAAAUGCAAAUUCUUGCCCCUCCUCUAGGCCCGCUGAAUCCUAAACUCUGGAGGUGGGGCCAAGCCAUCUGUGAAUGAACUCCCGCUCCGGGUCGCACCGACCCACCCUCACGUGUGAGAACCCCGGUCUAGGACCCUGGUUCUCCAACUCGCCUGUAUAUGUUUUCAAAAUGCUUGACCUCUCACUGGGAAUUUUUUAAAAAAUAAAUUUUAAAAAUGCUAACAA